rnacentral:rRNA from 1 species
GACGAACGCUGGCGGCGUGCCUAACACAUGCAAGUCGAACGGAGUGAAACGCUGAAUUGAAGGUAGCUUGCUACUGAAUUUUCUUGUUUCACUUAGUGGCGGACGGGUGAGUAACGCGUGAGUAACCUGCCUUACAGAGGGGGGACAACAGUUGGAAACGACUGCUAAUACCGCAUAAUGUAUCGAGAAGGCAUCUUCUUGAUACCAAAGGAGCAAUCCGCUGUAAGAUGGACUCGCGUCUGAUUAGCUAGUUGGCGGGGUAACGGCCCACCAAGGCGACGAUCAGUAGCCGGUCUGAGAGGAUGAACGGCCACAUUGGGACUGAGAUACGGCCCAGACUCCUACGGGAGGCAGCAGUGGGGAAUAUUGGGCAAUGGGGGAAACCCUGACCCAGCAACGCCGCGUGAAGGAAGAAGGUCUUCGGAUCGUAAACUUCUGUCCUUAGGGAAGAUAAUGACGGUACCUUUGGAGGAAGCCCCGGNUAACUACGUGCCAGCAGCCGC